rnacentral:rRNA from 1 species
AUACUACGUAUUCAACUAUUACUACAACCUUAAUAAGACAAACCAUAAUUAAAUUAGUACUACCAAACAAAUUCUAAUUCCUUCAACACCGCAAGGUAUACUAAUAACUUAAACCUUAGAAGUAAUUAACUUACCUACCUUUUGCAUAAUGUAAUUGCAAGAACAAAAGGUUUAUCUACCGUUUCCCGAAAAGUGGAGAGCUACUAUAAACAUUAACCCUUAAUGUAACAUUAUUAAAACACAGCUUAUAGUAGCAGCAAAAUACCUGUCGAGCCACUUGAUAGCUGGUUGUCCCUUAAAGACAUAUAAGUGUCUUUUUACAGAACAAUCCAAAUUGUCUUACCCUGUAAAAAAAAUUCUAAGAGGGACAAGCCCCUUAGAGCCACUAGAAAUAGUAGGAUAACAACAACUCAUAAAGGCUUAAAAACAGCCAAACAUAUCCGUUAUAGGAAAUGACACUAUAAAUCAAAAUAAAAUACUAAAUUCUAACCAUUAAGGAACCUUAUAGGUUAAUUUAACCCUUUAAUGAACCGGCAAUCAUUAGUAUCACAAAGUUCACCAAUAUAGGUUUUUUACAUAAAAAAAACAACCUCAAAUAAUACUAAUACUUUGACUUACCAUUGGUAAUGAAUUCGGCAAAACUUUUCUUUGCCUGUUUAUCAAAAACAUCGUCUUUUGUAAUCACAUUCAUAAAAGAUACUGCCUGCCCCAUGAUUUAAAAUUAAAUGGCCGCGUUAGCGUGAGCGUGCUAAGGUAGCGUAAUAAACAGCUCUUUAAUUAGGAGCCAGUGAAUGGCCAAACAAAGAAAAACUCUAUCACCAAUGAAAAGAAAAAUUUUCCUCUAAGUGAAAAGACUUAGAUUAAAGAAAAAGACAAAAAGACCCCGCGGAACUUCCUUACAGCUUUAUCACUUAAAUUAAUACUCAAGCUUAUAGCCAACGGUUGGUUGGGGCAACCUUGGAGUAAUUAAAACCUCCAUUAAUUUCAAAAAUCCAUGCAAAACUUAAUAUGGAAUAUACUUGUAGUUACCCCGGGGAUAACAGCGUAAUCCAACUUAAGAGUACGAAUCGAAAGUUGGGUUUGCGACCUCGAUGUUGGCUUAGGGAAAGCUACUUGGCGCAACCGCUAAGUUACAAAGCCAGUCUGUUCGACUGCUAACCCCCUACACGAGCUGAGUUAAGACCGGCGAGAGCUAGGUUGGAUUCUAUCUUUUCUUAUCAACUCAAUUCUUUAUUGUACGAAAGGACCCAAAGAAGCACAACAAAGUGUUCCUAUAAGCAAAAUAAUCAAUAUCAAUAAUUGGCUAUAAUAAUUAAGC